AGCUCAAGUUAAUAGAAUCGCAUUCGAGAUCGUUCCGGCAUGUGGAUAAGAUUGCCAACGUAUGCCCUUUCGUCCACUAACCAAAAAAAUUCUAAACAUUGGAGGAAGUUGGUCAUUGACAGCCUCAGCCUCAGCCUCUUCCUCUUAACCAAAAAAAAAAGAGAGAAAAGAAUACUUCUCUCACCUACAACGUUUCGCAUCUCUUCGAGCUCCCUCUUUUUCCCUUCGCUUGAGGUACCGUACAAACAAAGAUCGCAAAAACUUGGGAAUGAAAUGGCUUUGAGAGAUACUCUCCUCUGCCCGAAAUUUCGGACUCCGAAUCCAUUCCAUUCCGCCCGAAACAGCCGAAAUGCCAGCCGGAACCUUGUGGUGAGCGGCUGAGCGCUACCGCUGCCGCGCCCCGGACUCGUCGGCGGCGUCCCCAGAACGCGGAGGGAGAGUUCUUCGUUGAUCACCGGUGUAUUGAUUGCGAUGCCUGCCGUUGGAUGGCUCCGGAAAUCUUUACUCGGAUCGAUGAACAAUCUGCAGUGAUUAAGCAGCCGAGCUGCGAGGAGGAAAGGAUCAAGGCUCUGCAGGCACUGCUUUCCUGUCCAACGAGCUCCAUACAUACUGAGAAACCUACAAAGAAGAUUCUAGAAGUGCAGAAAAUGUUUCCUCUUCCAGUAGAUGAGCAGACACUUCCAGGUGUUUAUCAUUGCGGUUAUCAUUCUGAGUCAUCUUAUGGAGCAACUUCCUAUCUCGUCACUCACCCUGAUGGGAACAUAAUUGUUGAUAGCCCAAGAUUUAUGGAGAUAUUGGUACGUAACAUUGAGAAACUUGGAGGAGCACGCUACAUGUUUUUGACUCAUAAGGAUGAUGUAGGAGAUCAUGAAAAGUGGGCCAAGCGACUGAGGUGUGAAAGAAUUCUCCAUUCAGGAGAUGUGGAGGGCCAUACUGCAGAUGUGGAGAUGCAACUUUAUGGAGAUGGUCCAUGGAGCAUUGGUACUGAUUUCGACCUCAUCCACACUCCAGGCCAUACUGAAGGUUCAGUCUGCUUGUACUACAAGCCACUAAAGGUUCUGUUCACUGGAGAUCAUCUUGCCAAAUCUCGAGACACUGAACUGACUUUUCAUGAGAUAUAUAACAGGCAAUCCGUUAGCUUGCAACUCAAGAGCAUCAGGAAGUUAUUGGAGCUGGACUUUCAGUGGAUUCUACCUGGUGGGUAUUCUCCUCUUGUUAAGAAGUUCAGUUAGGGUCCUCGAAGGCAAUGAGGUCUUUCUAGAUUUCGUCAAAUUCUAACAUGUUCUUGGACAAGAAAUGUGGUCAUGGGCGGAGGAUAAAGUUUCGUGACAACCAAGAGAAGAAUUCAGUUUUGGAAGCUUUCUUGACCAGUAAAGAGCCAGAAUAUGCCUAACAGGAAAGGCUGCUUUUAUGGGGUUCGCAAGGGUAAUGUGAUCUGAUCUAUAUGGAAGGCAGAUAUGGGAAGAUGGCAUGCAAAGUUGCAAAGGCGGUCGAAGCUGUCAGAAUAAAGGCCUUUACCAGAAUAAGUCUUCAAAUACAUGUUGCAUGCAUGAACUACACACGAAACAUGUAUGUCAUAUGAAUCUCUCAGAAGUUUGGUUUUUCUUGCCGUGCGAAUUUUGAAAUUUUCGAUGCUCUGAACUGAAAGGCAAUCCAGCUAAACAAGAAACAGAACUUUCAAAUGAUGUACCAUAUGGUGCCAGUAAAUCUGUAUUGCUAAAUAUGUAUCCACAAAAUUAUGUGCGCAAGCAUGUCGCAAACUGAUUUGUUUCAAGGACUGAUAAUUUGUCUACCUUAA